rnacentral:rRNA from 1 species
CCUACGGUGCGCAGCAGUGAGGAAUAUUGGUCAAUGGGCGAGAGCCUGAACCAGCCAAGUCGCGUGAAGGAUGACGGCCCUACGGGUUGUAAACUUCUUUUGUCAGGGAGCAAUUGAGUCCACGUGUGGUCUUAGCGAGCGUACCUGAAGAAAAAGCAUCGACUAACUCCGUGCCAGCAGCCGCGGUAAUACGGAGGAUGCGAGCGUUAUCCGGAUUGAGUGGGGUUAAAGGGUGCGUAGGCGGAAUAUCAAGUCAGCGGUAAAAAUUCGGGGCUCAACCCCGUCGUGCCGUUGAAACUUAUGUUCUUGAGUGGGCGAGAAGUAUGCGGAAUGCGGGGCGUAGCGGUGAAAUGCAUAGAUAUCACGCAGAACUCCGAUUGCGAAGGCAGCAUACCGGCGCCCAACUGACGCUGAAGCACGAAAGCGUGGGUAUCGAACAGGAUUAGAUACCCGAGUAGUC